rnacentral:rRNA from 1 species
UACGUAGGGUCCGAGCGUUGUCCGGAAUUAUUGGGCGUAAAGGGCUCGUAGGCGGUUCGUCACGUCGGGAGUGAAAACUCGGGGCUUAACCCCGAGCCUGCUUCCGAUACGGGCAGACUAGAGGUAGGCAGGGGAGAGCGGAAUUCCUGGUGUAGCGGUGAAAUGCGCAGAUAUCAGGAAGAACACCAAUGGCGAAGGCAGUUCUCUGGGACGGUACUGACGCUGAGACGCGAAAGCGUGGGGAGCGAACAGG